rnacentral:rRNA from 1 species
UACGUAGGGAGCGAGCGUUGUCCGGAUUCAUUGGGCGUAAAGAGCUCGUAGGCGGCUUGAUAAGUCGGCUGUGAAAACUCGGGGCUCAACUCCGAGCUUGCAGUCGAUACGGGCAGGCUAGAGUUCGGCAGGGGAGACUGGAAUUCCUGGUGUAGCGGUGAAAUGCGCAGAUAUCAGGAGGAACACCGGUGGCGAAGGCGGGUCUCUGGGCCGAUACUGACGCUGAGGAGCGAAAGCGUGGGGAGCGAACAGG